rnacentral:lncRNA from 1 species
CCUUGUGACCCCCUCCGUUGAGUGCCCGGGCAACCAGGUCCCAGCCCAGACCUCACGUCUGACUCCCCCCAGGCCGCAGAUCCAUCGAUUUCGCCGUACUUCACACUCACCCGUAAAAUUCGCCCGCAGCGCGGCCCCGGGAGGCGAGUUCACCGACGGCGAGGUCUCGGACGGUGGCGGAUGGAGCCGAACUGCCACCCGAGGACUCCGCGGGCUGGGCGGGUGCGGAAAGGGAAGGACAGCUGGAUGGCCAUAAAGCCGCCGGAUGGGAUGCUGAAGUGAGGCGGCGGCCAACGGGGUGGCCAGCAGGAACCGGUCAAAAGAAACGCGGGUGAUGUAAGCCGCCAGGCCUAGUGGCUAGAGCCCCGGCCUGGGAUUCAGACGGACUUGGAAGCUAUUCCCGGCUCCGCCACCUGUCUGCCCGGUGACCUGGAGCAAGUCACUUCCCUCCUCUGGGCCUCAGUCCCCUCAUCUGUAAAAUGGGGAUCAAGACUGUGGGACAGGGACUGUAUCCAACUUGAUUACCUUGUAUCUACCGCAGCGCUUAGAGCAGUGCGGAGUAAGCACUCAGCAAACACCAUCAUCAACAGCGCUUGACGCACAGUGAGCGCUUAACAAAUACCAUUAAAAAAAAAAAAUGGCAGGUCCUCAGACGGCCGAGAAACGACAGAGGGAGUCUUACGUCCUAGACUUCCAGCAGUCGGAAAUGGGGCGGUAAUCACAGUAGCAGGUCAGACAGAAACGAGAGCAAUGUCUUUCCCAAACAGGAGGUCAGCCUUGGCCUUUACCUGUUCUCCACUCCCGCUCUGCCAGCCCCGGACGCCGAGAUGAAAACGCUACCGUCCGUUGAAGUUCAAACAAACGGGACGGCGGUGGAACUGGGGGAAGGAGCGAGGGGGAAUCUCUUCAGUUUUAGAUGCUCAUCGAGACUUAUCCUUUCCUGGAUUGGUGAACUAGUUGCCGAGGAAUCCGUCGUUCCCGGGCCAGAGCUCUGAAAGUCGCUACUGAGGCAGCCCAGAUUUACGGCCUUCUAGCCAAACCAGAAUUCAAAGCAACACUUAGGCG